rnacentral:lncRNA from 1 species
AAAAUCCAAUUCCACGAGCACGAAAAAAUGCAGCAAAGUAUGAAAGCACCAUUUCGGGAACUGUCAUCGACUCCUGACAUUUUAGGUAGUACAGCCACAAGAAGCCAGCCCAAAAAUGACCUAGAAAAUGGAGAUUCAAUGCUAAAUGAAACUGUCUUCAACUCUCUUCAUAAAAUCGACAAAAGUCUUGUGCGUAAGGUACAUGUCUACAAAAGAAUCUCCCAUAUUUGCUCGUAAAAUCCAUCUUUUCAUCGUCUAAAUCUGCAGGUAUUGGCAGAGGCAUUAGGGACAUUCGUGCUAAUGUUCUGCAUUUGCGCGAUCAUAGCAAUAAUGCAUUUAAUCGGAUUGGAAGCAGGCCUAAUGGAAUAUGCAGCCACAGCAGCACUAACAGUAACUGUUAUAGUUUUCUCCAUAGGAGCAAUUUCUGGAGCCCAUGUCAAUCCUGCUGUCACAAUUGCCUUCGCAACUGUCGGCCCAUUCCCAUGGUCCGAGGUAGUUCCAAGUCCAAAACUUGUUAAAUUUGAAGAUACGGAUCAAGAAAUUGAAUUUCAAAUUUAUUUCCCUUUAUUCUUUGAAGGUUCCACUCUAUAUAUUGGCACAAAUUGGGGGAUCUACUUUGGCAACUUAUAUUGCAAGAUUAGUAUAUGGCAUUAGAUCAGAGCUUGUGAUGACCAAACCACUCCAAGGAUGCACUGCAGCUUUCUGGGUGGAGCUUAUUGCAACUUUCAUAAUUCUUUUCCUCACUGCAUCCUUGUCGGAUCGAGAAAUUGAAUUUCAAAUUUAUUUCCCUUUUUCUUUGAAGGUUCCACUCUAUAUAUUGGCACAAAUUGGGGGAUCUACUUUGGCAACUUAUAUUGCAAGAUUAGUAUAUGGCAUUAGAUCAGAGCUUGUGAUGACCAAACCACUCCAAGGAUGCACUGCAGCUUUCUGGGUGGAGCUUAUUGCAACUUUCAUAAUUCUUUUCCUCACUGCAUCCUUGUCAAAUGACCCUCAAUCUGUAAGAUUCUGUCAAUUCUACUCGAGUCAUUUUACGUUCGACUACACUUAUCCUGUGAUAUGUUCGGUUUAGAGUUAUAUCAGACAUGUUGCACAUAUUAGGAUAUUCGAUUUACAGUGUUCCUAGUAAUAUUUCUUCUGGUAUGAUAUAGUGCCAUUUUUGCAGAUAGGACAGGUGUCUGGCUUUGUUGUCGGGGUGGCCAUUGGACUAGGAGUGCUAAUUUCUGGGUAAAGCAUAAAGAUUCUACUCGAGUCAUUUUACGUUCGACUACACUUAUCCUGUGACCGCAGAUAUGUUCGGUUUAGAGUUAUAUCAGACAUGUUGCACAUAUUAGGAUAUUCGAUUUACGGUGUUCCUAGUAAUAUUUCUUCUGGUAUGAUAUAGUGCAAUUUUUGCAGAUAGGACAGGUGUCUGGCUUUGUUGUCGGGGUGGCCAUUGGACUAGGAGUGCUAAUUUCUGGGUAAAGCAUAAAUAAUUACUUAUUACAAACUAACUAGAACUCACCAGAUUCACUUAAGUCGAUUAAAUUAUCAAAUGCAGGCCUGUUUCAGGUGGGUCGAUGAAUCCAGCGAGAUCGUUAGGACCUGCACUUGUUUCAUGGAAAUUUGAUGAUCACUUAUGGAUAUAUUUAGUAGCACCAACUAUAGGAGCCAUUGCUGGUGUUUUUGUGUACCGGAUUUUACGACUACAAGGUUGGUCUUGUGAGUCGAGUCAAGCCCGAAAAGGAAGUGAUUCUUUACAUUAGGUUGUAGCAUAGGCCAGCACGGUCGUUUCGAUUCUUUAUCUUCCUUGUACGCUUGCAUUUACGUCUAUGAGUGUUCAAAUUUCCAAAUGUGUUUACGAAUCAAAUUUUGUCUAAUCUUAUGUGAAAACAAAGCCUUAAUCGGACAGUCUCUAUUUAAAUUGCUUUAUUUUAAACUUUUUUUUUUCUCUGUUUGGUCGUUUUCUCUUUUCCUAUAUGAUAUGAGAUAUUAUUCUUCUACUUAACAAGGCCUAUCAAUGGGCCUAACGACAGUAGAGAUAAUGCUCCGUCAGCCCAAGAAAAUCCAUCAAAUAUGGGAGAAUUUACACCAAUAGCACUAGAUAAGAGUGAAUACGGUUUAGUUUGGCGGUUUAAGACAAAAUUUCAAACCAAACCAUUUAAAACAGUUUGAAAUUUUUCCAAAUCAAACCAAAACCACUUUGAUUACUAAACUAAACAAAUCCAAAUCAUUUAUCAUUUUUUUCUGUUUGGUUAUGUUUAAAACUGCGGUUUAAUAAAGAAAAAAUUAAUCUAUAUCAAAUAAGUUAAAUAAUAAAUAUUAUUCUAAAAUUUCAUGUUAAAACAUAAAUUGUAUUAUUAAAAAAUUGCAAAUCAAAGUUAUAUAACUAUAAUUAUUAUAAUGCAACAACAUGAUAUAAAUAUUUUAAACUCUUAAUCGCUACUAAUGGCGUCCAUUUACAAAUGUAAUACAUGAUUCAUUUUCUUAAUAAAUAUUAAAUAUAGUACAUGAAUUCAUUGAUUAUAGUUGAAUAAUAUAAAAUGAUUAAUAAAAGAAAAUGAACAAAAAAAAAUCAAAUACAAAACAACAACAUAACUACCAAUAAAAAUAUAAAAAUCAAACCUUUUUUUUUUUUUUUAGGUGAAUCAUUCAAAGCUUAUACUUCAUCUAAAUAUUGGCAAAUUAUUUUAAAGAAGCCCGAAAAUCAUUAGAACAACCAAGCUACUUCGUAAGCGGUUUGGUUCGGUUCAAAACCAAAAUUUUGACGGAACCACGUGCAACCAAGCCAAUGGUUUCUGGAAAACGAUUUCGGUUCGAUUUUACGGUUUAGCACCUUCGUUGUUCAGCUCUAACACUAGAUGGGCAAAAAAAUGGAUUAGAUACUCUCUUUUCUUUUCUUUUUUCUUUUUUUAUUGGGUUAAGGUAACUAUAUUUUACUCUAGUGUCAAUCUAGUAAUGAUACUUCAAUUUUUUUUUACGGUUAACUAUAAUGUAAUUUAAUUUUAAAUCAGAUAACUCCGUUCAAUUUCAUCACCGAUUCAUGAAUUAGGGUGAUGGAAAUUUUUUAUCUAUGAAAUAGUGAAGCAUUUCAUUUAUUUCACUAAAAUUGUACAUAUUUCAUAUAAGUAGCUAAUAAUUAGGCUGAUUGAAACUUUUAAUCGAUUGUCGCAUUAUCAAUUUCUGUCAAGAGAAUUGGACAAAGUAUAGUUACUUGACUAAAAUCAUAUUAAAGUAUAGUUAUUCGACUAAACAAAAAUGAACUACAGUUACUUAAAUGAGGCGAUACAUAAAAGACUCGUAAUCUAAUUAACAACUUAACUUUACUUCAAUCUUGUAACGCAAGCUGCUGAACCAUGGCGAAACAACUAGGUAUUGUGUUAACAUAGCAAUAUGAGUGAUUGUGUCUUAGGGCCUGUUAGGCGUGACUUUUGCUUUUACUUUUUGUAAAAGAGCUUUUGGAGAAAAUUAUAUUUAUUUUUGUUAGAAGACUAAUUUUUUAAAAGAGUUUCUUGUUUUGAAAGUGCUUUUUGAAAAAGUCACAUUGUACCAAUUUCUUCUAAAAACUCUUUUAAUUAGAAGAAAUACUUUUAUAAAAUUAUUCAAACAAGUUCGAAAACAAUUUUUGAAUCUUAAAGACGCUUUUUUAACUUUUCCAAAAUCAUGACUAAUGAACCCUUAGUAGAAGCAAACUAUUCAUUGACAAUUUUAAGGAGGACAAAGCAAUAGUUUAUGGUUAAAGCGGCAAAUUAGGGGACAAACGUGAGAGACAAAUGUUUUGUCCAAUUGCUUAAGACAAUUAGCCAUUCUUCAUUCUCCCUGAAGUGACAACCAAAAAACCUUAAAAUUUCAUAUGCUGAAGAGAAUACAGAUUAUGAACUGCUGGCCUUGAUUCCGCAAACAAAACAUGAAAACAAAAGUGAUGAAAAAAAUUCCCUCUUUUCUUGUUGCUUUGAAGUGAUAAAAUUGAUUGUUAGAAAGAAAAUAAAAUUAGUAAUACUCUCAAAGUACUCGUGAGGAGACGUCUUAUUAUUAUUAUUAUUUUUUUUUAUGACGGGGAACCUACAGUCGCUACUCUUCGGAUGUACGCUGGGUAAACCCUCGGACUGACGCGAUAGUCUGCAAAUCACGCUAGCCAGGUAAACAGCAUUAGGCAAACCCGAUACGACAGACUCGACCAAGAAAGUGUUGGUAGAGGAAAUCGAACUCGUGAUCAAAGACUUCCGCGCUCACCCACUCCAACAACUCGGCCACCCCAUGAGGGGCGGAGACGUCUUAUUAUCACUUCUACUUUGCCUGAAUUCAAUCAUGUGGAGGUUCUUGAGUCUAUAAGUAUGAGUAAAAAUUUUAAGGUACUUCGAAUCGUCUAAAACUGAGCAUUGUUAUUACAUAAGCAACAAAAUUUGUGGCGGGUUUUUGUCAUAAAAUUUCUUGUAAAUUUUUAUAUAUUUACUUGAGCAACAAUGAAUAAAAAAAAAUGAUUUUCCAUCACAAAAAAAAAAAAAUUAAAGAAAGUCGGUCUAGAAGCUAGUGUUUUGACCUUUUAAGAUUCUGUUACUUUUAACUUAACAACAUAUCAAUUAUUUUAAAGACUCGGGGUUAAAAGUGUUCCACUCAAAUGAGUUGUGACUUGUAAGCUAUGUCCUAUAAAUAAAUAUUGAAGUAUUUUUCUAAAAACUUUAGGUAAAAAAAAUUAAAUGUAACUGUCACAAGCAAUUGGACAAGAUAAAAGUGACUCACCAACUAAAAUUGCCCACUUAUUAUUUCUUAGUAUGGAUUGAGUCAUGUCUUACUAAUUUUGCAAAUUAGCCACGAUAAAAUUAAUGAAAAGUGAUUACAAUUUGAAGCAAUGGGCAUAUAGAUUAAUUUUUUUGCCAUUAUGGAUGUGGAUAGGUGAAUAUCCCAAUGGUCCCCCUCCAACAAGCAUGGGAUAAGCACAAAAAAUAAUCCAAUAGAGUUUCAUCAUACUUUUGUGAGUAUUUUAAAUUAAAAGCUUGAAAAUUUUUCAGGUAAAAUAAAUAGUGUGGAAGCAUGUGUUUUAUUGAUAGCUUGCUUUGUAAAGUGUAAUAUAUAUAUAGAUGUCAAGUUUCGAAACAAAUCAUGUUGUGAGUCAAUCAAAGUAAAAAUCGAGCUGUGAGAAACCUAACUAUCUUGACUAUGUUUUGUGCAAGUCAGCCCACAAGAACCUUUAAAUUACUUUUCUUAACAAUAUUUUAUGUAGAAAUCAUUUUUAUAGAUAAAUUACUUAUUUGUUAAUUUCAUGAUUCAGUUAUUACAUUUGACAAGAUUUUAAUUUCAAAUUGGAGUUUCACUAAAUUAAGGUAUUAUGAAUGCUAAGAAUCUUAUCUUAAAUGUCAAGAUUAAAGUUUCAAAAUGAUAAGAUCGUCCUAUUAAAUAAUAUUUUUCUUUGUAUACCUAAGUCAUUUUCAAUCUUGGAAGGACCCCAAGGUCAAUGGAAAUGGGAAGAGAAUGGGGCUCACAUUUGCCUUAAAAGGGAUUGCCAUUGGAAUUUGAUAGAUAGUGUCUUUAUCAUGGGUGCUAUGGUGCUAGUGCUUUUAUUUAAGCCCCUACAACUUUGGUGAAAAUGAUUUCAUACCAUAAAAAUUAGAGAAAUUUGCAACAUACGACUUCUAUUUAGAAUGUAUUUACAUUUUGCAUGACACAGCUAUUAUUUAUAACUUAUAAGUAAGAAAAAUACUUUUUUAUUUAAAAAAAUUAUACAUAUACCAAUGUAAGUAGCUUAACAAAACAAAAUACCCUUAAUUAGUAAUAACAAAUCACGACUACAUUUUAUAUUAUUAAACACUUUACAUACCAUGUGUUUAACUCUUAUUAUUAUUUUUUUUUUAAAUUUAAUUACUAGAAGCUUGAGAUAGUUUAUUAAUUUUUUUUUCUUAAAAGAUGGUCUUCAUUUAUUGUAAGGUUUACAAAAUGAUUGCUCUUCAUUUUUAAAAUUACAGAGUGAAAAAAAAAACGCUGUGAAAAAGACAAAUCUUAAAAAAAAUAAUAAAUAAAAAACGUGUUGGAAAAUAUAGCAAAAACUUAAUUUGAAUUUUUUCCAACAUUAUUAAGUGGACAUAUGCAAAUUAUUAAUUUUCACCAUUAUUAUAUAAGUUUAUUCAUCGUAAUUUAUGUUUAAUGAGUAAAAAUAACAAAAAUUAGAAAAAAAAUGCUUUAAAUCGACCAAGAUUAUUCAUAACUACUUUCUUUCGCAGCACUAGGCUUUCAGCUCGGUCAACUCUCCCUUUUGUGCCACCUAGGAUAGUCUAGAAGACUUGUAGAGAGAUUAAUAUGAAACACAUGCCCAAUUAACAAAGGUAAAGUCCUCUACCAAUAAAAUAAAAAGAGGAAAGACAUCGAACAUCGAUGCAUCCCUCUAAUAGUUUAAGCCUGCAGGUUAUAGCAAAAAUGAAAAAGGUCAAGCGUAUAUAUUUGAUGAAAUGAUCAAUGCUUAGAUUUGUUACUAAGAGUCUUUGCCUUAAUCUAUUCUCUUUUGUUAGCUAGACUUUUGUUGGAAGAAUUGGCACCUUUUCUUGAUCUUCUCUUUCCUAAAGUAUGCAGUAUGUCACGGACUUGCUAAUUUCUUUCAAGAACCGUGCGGCCUUAGUGUCUUCAACUUCCGCCCCCGCGGUUAUUACACUAAGUCAGCCUCUCGAUUGGCAUUGAUGUCUUAGAAAGACACUAGGUAGAACACUUUAGGAAAGGGACAAUGAAGGAACACAAGAACUUACAAAGAAUGCUUUGUAUUGAAUAAGGAUACUCUUUACAACUUCACUCUCUUGAUGCCUUCAAAUGAAUCUUACCAAGCUAUUUAUAGUAGUAGCCUACUCAAAUGGAUGGCUAGAAUCUUUUCUAUCCAAUGGUCUAGAUUACACAUCUAGAAUUAUCUAUACAAAUAUCUACAUUAAAAUAUCUAUGGACUAGACUAGGAUGAUCUAGAAUAAUCCACCAAGUGAGGAGCUUGUAGGCUUCUAGAAUGUCCCACCAUAUUCUAGCAAUCUUCAUGCACUUGUGGGAGUCUAGAAUAUUCCGGUUAGCCUCAAGUCUUUUGUCAAUCCAAUCCACCAACGGAUUCAACCCUGGCCAACCUGUUAACAUUUCACGAUUUAUUUUCUCGUGUGUUCCCUCAUUUCUGACAGCAGGGCUUGCUAACGGGGUUAAGGGUACAGCAGGGCUCGGGGGAAGCCUGAUCGCCCUUCCUUCUCAACUUGCUCGUGUUUUCAGCUUUCAAAGAAAAUUUGCUAUUUGCUUGAGCUCCUCCACUAGAUCCAAUGGCAUCGUAUUUUUUGGAAAUGGCCCAUAUGUUUUGCUUCCUGGUAUUGAUGUGUCUAUGUCUCUUAUUUAUACACCACUUAUCAAGAAUCCAUUUGGCAUUGGAUCCGUCCCAUUUCUGAACGAGCUCUCUUCGGAAUACUUCAUUGGAUUAAAAUUGAUCAGAAUCAACGGAAAAUCAGUGCAACUAAAUAGAACUUUGCUAUCAAUUGACAGGGAAGGUAAUGGUGGAACCAAAAUCAGCACCUUUAGACCUUACACUGUAAUGCAGACUUCGAUUUACAAUGCUUUGAUUACUGCUUUCAGAAAAGAACUAGCCAAUGUCACUAGAGUGCUUCCGGUAGCACCAUUUGGGACAUGCUUCGACUCUAAGAACAUUGGUAGCACGCUCGUGGGGCCUGCUGUUCCACCCAUUGAUCUUGUCUUUAAAGGCAACAAAGUGUACUGGAGUAUUUUUGGUGCAAACUCAAUGGUGCAGGUUAAUGAAGGUGUAAUGUGUCUCGGAUUCGUGGAUGGAGGGGAGAAUCCCAUGACAUCAAUAGUCAUUGGUGGACAUCAAAUUGAGGACAAUCUUCUGCAGUUUGAUCUAGCUAGAUCUAGGCUCGGGUUUAGCUCUUCGCUCUUGUUCAGGCAAACAACCUGUGCCAACUUCAACUUUACAUCUCUCGCUUAAGGGUUCUGUUUCAUUUUUCUCAUUCAGAAUAACAUCAAACUAUAAAAUAAAUUCUUGAACUCUUUCUGAUUUUGUUCUGUUCUCAUACAACUGCACGUUUUUUUCUUCGUGUUCCUGUUUUUGCUUUUCAUAUCGCCUAAAAGUUAGCAAAGUAGUGGAUAUUAGUAACUAAAAGUAUGUUCUUGAUUUUGCUUGGAAAUGAUAUUAACAACUGCACCCCCUCCAACCUCCACCCCAUCCCAAAACAAAAACAUUGUAAGUGUUAUAUAAUUGAGAAACAGUUGGACAGUAAAGGUCAACCUAUUUUCCUUAAACAUUAAAGAAGCAUGAGUUACUUAUAAUCCCUUUGAAAGAACACAAGGAUUGCGUUGAAACAAACAGUCCCCAACUUCUGCAACGUUAUAAACUCCUCAAUCGAAAUGUGUAUUCCUAACAUAGAAAUAAAAAUGCAAAAGUGCGAAAGGAUUCAACAUUAAACUACAAUUCAUUAGGCCUGUGGAACUCAAAAUCCAAUUCCACGAGCACGAAAAAAUGCAGCAAAGUAUGAAAGCACCAUUUCGGGAACUGUCAUCGACUCCUAACAUUUUAGGUAGUACAGCCUCAAGAAGCCAGCCCAAAAAUGACCUAGAAAAUGGAGAUUCAAUGAUAAAUGAAACUCUCUUCAACUCUCUUCAUAAAAUCGACAAAAGUCUUGUGCGUAAGGUACAUGUCUACAAAAGAAUCUCCCAUAUUUGCUCGUAAAAUCCAUCUUUUCAUCG